GACGUAGGGUCCAAGCGUUGUCCGGAUUUACUGGGCGUAAAGAGCGCGUAGGCGGUCUGUUAAGUGAGAAGUGAAAUCUUCAGGGCUCAACCCGAAAAUUGCUUUUCAUACUGGCAGACUGGAGGGAUGCAGAGGUAUGUGGAAUUCCUGGUGUAGCGGUGAAAUGCGUUGAUAUCAGGAGGAACACCCAUGGCGAAGGCAGCAUACUGGGCAUCAUCUGACGCUGAGGCGCGAAAGCGUGGGUAGCAAACAGG
rnacentral:rRNA from 1 species